rnacentral:rRNA from 1 species
CCUGUCCGGUAGUGGGGGAUAGCCCGGCGAAAGCCGGAUUAAUACCGCAUACGAUCUAAGGAUGAAAGCGGGGGAUCUUCGGACCUCGCGCGAUAGGGGCGGCCGAUGGCAGAUCAGCUAGUUGGUGGGGUAAAGGCCUACCAAGGCGACGAUCUGUAGCUGGUCUGAGAGGACGACCAGCCACACUGGGACUGAGACACGGCCCAGACUCCUACGGGAGGCAGCAGUGGGGAAUUUUGGACAAUGGGCGCAAGCCUGAUCC